rnacentral:rRNA from 1 species
AUUGAACGCUGGCGGCAGGCCUAACACAUGCAAGUCGAGCGAGCGGCGGACGGGUGAGUAAUGUCUGGGAAACUGCCCGAUGGAGGGGGAUAACUACUGGAAACGGUAGCUCAUACCGCAUACCAUCAGAUGUGCCCAUAUGGGGUUAGCUAGUAGGUGGGGGAACGGCUCACCUCGGCGACGAUCCCUAGCUGGUGUGUGAGGAUGAGCAGCCACACUGGAACUGAGACACGGCCCAGACUCCUACGGGAGGCAGCAGUGGGGAAUAUUGCACAAUGGGCGCAAGCCUGAUGCAGCCAUGCCGCGUGUAUGAAGAAGGCCUUAGGGUUGUAAAGUACUUUCAGCGGGGAGGCGUUACCCGCAGAAGAAGCACCGGCUAACUCCGUGCCAGCAGCCGCGGUAAUUC